rnacentral:rRNA from 1 species
GACGAACGCUGGCGGCGUGCUUAACACAUGCAAGUCGAACGGACUACUUUGCUUCGGUAAGGUGGUUAGUGGCGAACGGGUGAGUAACGCGUAGACAACCUACCGCUUAGAUGGGGACAACACCGCGAAAGCGGUGCUAAUACCGAAUGCAGUGACUUUCAUGCAUGGGAUAGAUAAUAAAGGUGGCCUCUAUUUAUAAGCUACCACUGAGAGAUGGGUCUGCGUAUGAUUAGCUAGAUGGCGGGGUAAUGGCCCACCAAGACGACGAUCAGUAGCCGGGCUGAGAGGAUGAACGGCCACAUUGGGACUGAGACACGGCCCAAACUCCUACGGGAGGCAGCGGUGAGGAAUCUUCCGCAAUGGACGAAAGUCUGACGGAGCAACGCCGCGUGAGUGAAGAAGGUUUUCGGAUCGUAAAGCUCUGUUGUUUGAGACGAAUGUGCCUGUUUCAAAUAGGGAUAGGUAAUGACGGUAUUAAACGAGAAAGCCACGGCUAACUACGUGCCAGCCGCCGCCGUAA